AUACUUACCUGGAUGGGGUCUAUGGGUGAUCAUAAAGGCCCAUGGCCUAAGUUGGUAACCUCCAUUGCACACUGGAGGGGUGCCCGCUUAAGGUCUCCCUAGAUGGGAGAGCCUACAUCGCCC
rfam:Vigna angularis cultivar Jingnong 6 chromosome 9, whole genome shotgun sequence.